CAAAGGCAGGCGCCAAACCGCUGCGCCACCCAGGGAUCCCUACUAAUAUUUUCAUGCCUGAAGUUCUGCUUGGAAAUCUCUGUACCCAUUUCUCAGCAGUGUUCAUAGUUGUCUUAAGCAAAUUAUGACAUUCUGUUCUCCAUAACUUCAGCUUCUCUUGUGAGUGGUAGCCAGUAAAACAGCAACAGAAAUCUGUUACGGGGGCUUCUGAAGAAGCUUUGGCUUUCCUGAGGCAGAGGACAGCUGUGCUGGUGCCACCCUUUCCUUCCUCCUUGUGGCCUGAAUGUAGAUGUGAGAUCAGAAACUGAGGCAGCCUAUUUUGGCACCAUGGGACAAAUGGUACCAACACCAUUUAGUCACCGAACCCAUUCCUCAGCCUCCUACAUUUUGACUUUGAGAAAAAAAAUAAACCUAUAUUUGUUUAA